rnacentral:rRNA from 1 species
AGGUCACUGCUAUCGGGGUUCGAUUAAGCCAUGCGAGUCGAGAGGGUUCGGCCCUCGGCAUACUGCUCAGUAACACGUGGACAACCUGGCCUGAGGUGAGGGAUACCUCCGGGAAACUGGAUAUAAUACCUCAUAACCUACGACUGCUGGAAUGCUUUGUAGGUCAAAGGUCCGCCGCCUCAGGAUGGGUCUGCGGCCGAUUAGGUAGUUGUUGGGGUAACGGCCCAACAAGCCUGUCAUCGGUACGGGUUGUGGGAGCAAGAGCCCGGAGAUGGAUUCUGAGACACGAAUCCAGGCCCUACGGGGCGCAGCAGGCGCGAAAACUUUACAAUGCAGGCAACUGUGAUAAGGGAACCCCGAGUGCCCGUAUGGACGGGCUGUUCAGGUGCGCAAAAAACACCUGGAGAAAGGGCCGGGCAAGACCGGUGCCAGCCGCCGCGGUAAUACCGGCGGCUCGAGUGGUGGCCACUAUUACUGGGCUUAAAGCGUCCGUAGCUUGGUCGUUAAGUCUCCGGGGAAAUCUUCCGGCUCAACCGGAAGGCGUCUCAGGGAUACUGGCGGCCUAGGGAUCGGGAGAGGUGAGAGGUACACCGGGGGUAGGAGUGAAAUCCUGUAAUCCUCAGGGGACCACCUGUGGCGAWGGCGUCUCMCCAGAAMKRYUSCGACRGWKAGGGUAYRAAAGMUGGGGRRGCAAWCCCGGAUUASAUACYCGGGUAGUCYCASCCGUMWMCAAYGCKCGUUAGKYGUAUCGGUGAMCACSAGUUACUGAGGGUCGUAAGGGCAACUGUGAAACGCGGUAUUUGAGUAGUACCUCCGCAAGGCUGAUAAUUUAUGGAGUUGGCGGGGGAGCACCUCAACGGGUGGAGCUUUCGGUUUAAUUGGACUCAUCGCCGGACAGCUCACCGAGUAGGACACCGAUAUGAUAGUCGGGCUGAGGACUAUAAUUGAUCAGCUGAGAGGAGGUGCAUGGCCGUCGGCAGUUGGUACUGUGAAGCCCCCUGUUAAGUCAGGCAACGAGCGAGACCCACGCCAACAGUUACCAGCAUGGUCUCCGGGCCGAUGGGGACACUGUUGGGACCGCCUCUGCUAAAGAGGAGGAAGGAAUGGGCAACGGUAGGUCAUCAUGCCCCGAAUUACCCGGGCUACACGCGGGCUACAAUGGACAGGACAAUGGGCCUCGACACCGAGAGGUGAAGACAAUCUCCUAAACCUGCCCUUAGUUCGGAUUGCGGGCUGCAACUCGCCCGCAUGAAGCUGGAAUCCGUAGUAAUCGCGUUUCAAAAUAGCGCGGUGAAUCUGUCCCUGCUCCUUGCACACACCGCCCGUCAAACCACCCGAGUGAGGUCUGGAGGAGGCUACGGUUGUUGCCGUCGUCGAAUCUAGGUUUCGCAAGGGGGGUU